rnacentral:rRNA from 1 species
GAUGAACGCUGGCGGCGUGCCUAAUACAUGCCAGUCGAGCGAACAGACGAGGAGCUUGCUCCUCUGACGUUAGCGGCGGACGGGUGAGUAACACGUGGAUAACCUACCUAUAAGACUGGGAUAACUUCGGGAAACCGGAGCUAAUACCGGAUAAUAUAUUGAACCGCAUGGUUCAAUAGUGAAAGACGGUUUUGCUGUCACUUAUAGAUGGAUCCGCGCCGCAUUAGCUAGUUGGUAAGGUAACGGCUUACCAAGGCAACGAUGCGUAGCCGACCUGAGAGGGUGAUCGGCCACACUGGAACUGAGACACGGUCCAGACUCCUACGGGAGGCAGCAGUAGGGAAUCUUCCGCAAUGGGCGAAAGCCUGACGGAGCAACGUCGCGUGAGUGAUGAAGGUCUUCGGAUCGUAAAACUCUGUUAUUAGGGAAGAACAAAUGUGUAAGUAACUAUGCACGUCUUGACGGUACCUAAUCAGAAAGCCACGGCUAACUACAUG